CCAUGCAGGAGACACGAGGAGUGCCAGAGCAACUGCUGUACCAUCAACAGCCUGGCCCCACACACGCUCUGCACCCCUAAGACCAUCUUCCUGCAGUGCCUGCCCUGGAGGAAGCCCAAUGGGUACAGAUGCUCGCACGACUCAGAGUGCCAGAGCAGCUGCUGCGUCCGCAACAACAGCCCGCAGGAGUUGUGCACGCCCCAAAGCGUCUUCCUGCAGUGUGUGCCCUGGCGCAAGCCCAACGGCGACUUCUGCAGCAGCCAUCAGGAGUGUCACAGCCAGUGCUGCAUCCAGCUGAGGGAGUACAGCCCCUUCCGCUGCAUUCCCCGGACCGGGAUCCUGGCCCAGUGCCUGCCCCUGUGAUGUGAGCUCGAACCUGGGCGCGAGGGACCGGCCUGGGCCCUGGGAUGUUCACGCAGGACCGCGUUGCGCGGGGGCUGGUUCCAGCGGAAGCUUCCCUUACGGUUUGUGCUGCUGUUUCUGGGGCUCUGAAAAUCUGUGGGAACUGAAAGGCUGUGACCAGCCUGGUGGCGCGAAGUGUCUGUGAGAACAAAUCCCAGGCACUGGGGUGUAGCCUGAUUGUUAAACAUCAAUAAAGGCUCCUGGCCGACUG
rnacentral:lncRNA from 1 species